ACAAGCUUGACGUCACUUGUUGAAGAUAACACACAAGACACCGAGGAGUGACGCAGAGCAGCGGACUUCUCCCUUCUGAUGGCGGAUCCCCCUCGGUGAGUGGACUCUUCCUCAGUGGCGGAUUUCUCCUCAGAAGCGCAGACUUCUCCUGGGCGUCUCGGCAGCGAGCUAUAGAUUUAGAAAAGCAGGUCUUUUUCAGGACAAAUAUUCUCACA